GAAACUUACCAGGUCCAGACAUUGUUAGGAUUGACAGAUUGAGAGCUCUUUCUUGAUUCGAUGGGUGGUGGUGCAUGGCCGUUCUUAGUUGGUGGAGUGAUUUGUCUGGUUAAUUCCGAUAACGACCGAGCCCGUAGCCUGCUACAUACUCCCGCGAACUUCCUGUUGGCGGCCGACUUCUUAGAGGGACAACUUGUGACCAACAAGUGGAAGUUUGCGGCAAUAA
rnacentral:rRNA from 1 species